rnacentral:rRNA from 1 species
AACGCUAGCUACAGGCUUAACACAUGCAAGUUGAGGGGCAGCAUGGUCUUAGCUUGCUAAGGCCGAUGGCGACCGGCGCACGGGUGAGUAACACGUAUCCAACCUGCCGUGUACUCUUGGACAGCCUUCUGAAAGGAAGAUUAAUACAAGAUGGCAUCAUGAGUCCGCAUGUUCACAUGAUUAAAGGUAUUCCGGUAGACGAUGGGGAUGCGUUCCAUUAGAUAGUAGGCGGGGUAACGGCCCACCUAGUCUUCGAUGGAUAGGGGUUCUGAGAGGAAGGUCCCCCACAUUGGAACUGAGACACGGUCCAAACUCCUACGGGAGGCAGCAGUGAGGAAUAUUGGUCAAUGGGCGAGAGCCUGAACCAGCCAAGUAGCGUGAAGGAUGACUGCCCUAUGGGUUGUAAACUUCUUUUAUAAAGGAAUAAAGUCGGGUAUGUAUACCCGUUUGCAUGUACUUUAUGAAUAAGGAUCGGCUAACUCCGUGCCAGCAGCCGCGGUAAUACGGAGGAUCCGAGCGUUAUCCGGAUUUAUUGGGUUUAAAGGGAGCGUAGAUGGAUGUUUAAGUCAGUUGUGAAAGUUUGCGGCUCAACCGUAAAAUUGCAGUUGAUACUGGAUAUCUUGAGUGCAGUUGAGGCAGGCGGAAUUCGUGGUGUAGCGGUGAAAUGCUUAGAUAUCACGAAGAACUCCGAUUG